GGUCAGUGAUGAGCAGUAAAAGGUCUGAUUACCCACAAUCCUCUCCUGCUGCCCUCCGGCUCCCAGCAGCCCCUGCUCUGUGCUCCCAUUAUGCUCAAGUGCUGCAGUGGUGGUCCCAGGAGCUGCUGACAGACAGGAUGUGACAUCACAGUGAGUCUGUACAGAGAUCCUACAGGCUCAGUGUGAUGAUGACUGACAUCCAACAGAACCAAUCAGCAUGGAGCGUGAGGGGGGUGGAGGAGGAGGCGGGGCCUGAUCUCAAGUUUUCAACCUGAGACC
rnacentral:snoRNA from 1 species